rnacentral:rRNA from 1 species
CCUACGGGUGGCAGCAGUAGGGAAUCUUCCACAAUGGGCGAGAGCCUGAUCGAGCCACGCCGCGUGAAUGAAGACUGUCUUCGGAUCGUUAAACCCUGUUUUUAGAGAAGUAAGUGCGUGCGAGUAACUGUUCACGUUUCUACUUUAUCUAACCAGAAAGCCACACCUAACUACGUCCCAGCCGCCGCGGUAAUACGUAGGUGGCAAGCGUUAUCCGGAUUUAUUUGGCGUAAAGGGAACGUAGGUGGUCUUUUAAGUCUGAUGUGAAAGUCUUCGGCUUAACCGGAGUAGUGCAUUGGAUACUGGGAGACUUGAGUGCAGAAGAGGAGAGCGGAACUCGAGGUGUAGCGGUGAAAUGCGUAGAUAUAAGGAAGAACACCAGUGGCGAAAGCGGCUCUCUGGUCUGUAACUGACACUGAGGUUCGAAAGUGUGGGUAGCAAACAGGAUUAGAUACCCUUGUAGUC